UACGUAGGGUGCGAGCGUUUGUCCGGAAUUAUUGGGCGUAAAGAGCUUGUAGGCGGUUUGUCGCGUCUGCCGUGAAAAUCCGGGGCUCAACCCCGGACUUGCGGUGGGUACGGGCAGACUAGAGUGUGGUAGGGGAGACUGGAAUUCCUGGUGUAGCGGUGAAAUGCGCAGAUAUCAGGAGGAACACCGAUGGCGAAGGCAGGUCUCUGGGCCACUACUGACGCUGAGAAGCGAAAGCGUGGGGAGCGAACAGG
rnacentral:rRNA from 1 species